ensembl:lncRNA LINC01768 long intergenic non-protein coding RNA 1768
UUGCCGCUUCUCUCUUCUACUGUCCCAGCUGUCUCUGUUUUUUAGGCAACUUUCUGUGGCUUUUUCAAGAGUGGAGAUUUGGCUGGAGCAGGAUUAGGAAGCCUCCUGCUACACGCUUUCCCUGAGAAAAACCUCCUCUCUGGAAGGGGCCUGAGGUGAAAAUGAUUCAGAAGGCAGCUGAGGAGUUCUGGAAAGAGCCCCAAAGACCAGGCUCUGAGGCCUCCCUGGGCCACUUACUAACUAAAUGGGAGAAGAUUACUUGAGAAAAAGCCUAGAACAGUGCCCAGCAUGGGUGAUUUUCUCUUGUAAAAUGGCUUGAACCCCAAAGCUAUAGCACAAGCAAGCAGGGUCAUCAGAAGCCACUCCAUUCUUCUGGAAGCUGCAGGGAAAUGGAACCCAGAAACCAGAUGUCUAUGUCCUAAUCUCCAGAACCUAUGAAUGGAUUGUCUUUCAUGGAAAAGGGGUAUUUAGAUUGC